rnacentral:rRNA from 1 species
GACGAACGCUGGCGGCGUGCCUAAUACAUGCAAGUUGAGCGCUGAAGGUUGGUACUUGUACCAACUGGAUGAGCAGCAAACGGGUGAGUAACGCGUGGGGAAUCUGCCUUUGAGCGGGGGACAACAUUUGGAAACGAAUGCUAAUACCGCAUAAAAACUUUAAACACAAGUUUUAAGUUUGAAAGAUGCAAUUGCAUCACUCAAAGAUGAUCCCGCGUUGUAUUAGCUAGUUGGUGAGGUAAAGGCUCACCAAGGCGAUGAUACAUAGCCGACCUGAGAGGGUGAUCGGCCACAUUGGGACUGAGACACGGCCCAAGCUCCUACGGGAGGCAGCAGUAGGGAAUCUUCGGCAAUGGACGAAAGUCUGACCGAGCAACGCCGCGUGAGUGAAGAAGGUUUUCGGAUCGUAAAACUCUGUUGGUAGAGAAGAACGUUGGUGAGAGUGGAAAGCUCAUCAAGUGACGGUAACUACCCAGAAAGGGACGGCUAACUACGUG